rnacentral:lncRNA from 1 species
UUGUUUGUAAACAUCACUUUGUACAAAAUACAUAUGCAUACAAAAAGGGCUCCCUAUGAGUACCUAGGACACUUUGGGUGCUAACACCCUCCCUCUGUGUAACCAACCCCCUUACCUGUGAUCUCUGAUUGUUCGUACUUUUUCCCUUUCCCUUGGAAACAAUAAAAGCGCGGUGGCGACUCUUGUUAUUUGAUCUCUAGCUUGUCAACAGCUUGAUGAUCAUGAAUUUCCCGCUACAGAAAUUAAGUGGCGACUCUGUUGGGAAGUAGUCUC